GUCGAGUCGAACAGACGAGGCAGCUUGCUCCUCUGACGUUAGCGGCGGACGGGUGAGUAACACGUGGAUAACCUACCUAUAAGACUGGGAUAACUUCGGGAAACCGGAGCUAAUACCGGAUAAUAUAUUGAACCGCAUGGUUCAAUAGUGAAAGACGGUUUUGCUGUCACUUAUAGAUGGAUCCGCGCCGCAUUAGCUAGUUGGUAAGGUAACGGUUUACCAAGGCAACGAUGCGUAGCCGACCUGAAAGGGUGAUCGGCCACACUGGAACUGAGACACGGUCCAUACUCCUACGGGAGGCAGCAGUAGGGAAUCUUCCGAAAUGGGCGAAAGCCUGACGGAGCAACGCCGCGUGAGUGAUGAAGGUCUUCGGAUCGUAAAACUCUGUUAUUAGGGAAGAACAAAUGUGUAAGUAACUAUGCA
rnacentral:rRNA from 1 species